rnacentral:rRNA from 1 species
UACGAAGGGGGCUAGCGUUGCUCGGAAUGACUGGGCGUAAAGGGCGCGUAGGCGGAUGGCACAGUCAGAUGUGAAAUUCCUGGGCUUAACCUGGGGGCUGCAUUUGAUACGUGUGAUCUGGAGUGAGGAAGAGGGUCGUGGAAUUCCCAGUGUAGAGGUGAAAUUCGUAGAUAUUGGGAAGAACACCGGUGGCGAAGGCGGCGACCUGGUCCUUAACUGACGCUGAGGCGCGAAAGCGUGGGGAGCAAACAGG